rnacentral:rRNA from 1 species
AGUGAACGCUGGCGGUAGGCCUAACACAUGCAAGUCGAACGGCAGCACAGGAGAGCUUGCUCUCUGGGUGGCGAGUGGCGGACGGGUGAGGAAUACAUCGGAAUCUACUCUGUCAUUGGGGAUAACGUAGGGAAACUUACGCUAAUACCGCAUACGACCUACGGGUGAAAGCAGGGGAUCUUCGGACCUUGCGCGAUAGAAUGAGCCGAUGUCGGAUUCGCUAGUUGGCGGGGUAAAGGCCCACCAAGGCGACGAUACGGAGCUGGUCUGGGAGGAUAAUCAGCCAGACUGGAACUGAGACACGGUACAGACUCCUACGGGAGGCAGCAGUGGGGAAUAUUGGACAAUGGGCGCAAGCCUGAUCCAGCCAUACCGCGUGGGUGAAGAAGGCCUUCGGGUUGUAAAGCCCUUUUGUUGGGAAAGAAAUCCAGCUGGCUAAUACCCGGUUAGGAUGACGGUACCCAAAGAAUAAGCACCGGCUAACUUCGUGCCAGCCGCCGCAGUAA